AACGUGGAAUGGCUAACAUAGAAUGAAAUACAAGGGAAUAGAUAGAACAGAGGAAACCUGAAAUCAUCAUUCAUACAAGAGAAUAUAAUGAAAGAAAAAUUCAAUCGUUUUCGUCAUCGAAUGUUCUCAACAACGUGAAGUAAGAAGCUGCUGUCUUCAAGACCUACAAAGAAAAUCAAGGAAAAAAAAAAAUAAAAUAACGUAAAUAAGAAAAAGAAGAAAAGGAAAGAAAAAGAAAAAAAUACAAAAAAAAAGAAAAUACAAAACAAAUUAAAAAAAGAAAAAGAAAAGAAAGAAAAAGUACGUAAGUUUUCAAUCUCUUAUAAAUUCCCAUGAGUUUGUUAUUAAUAUUCUUCUUCUUCUUCUUCUUCUUAUUAUUAUUAUUAUUAUUAUUAUUAUUAUUAUUAUUAUUAUUAUUAUUAUUAUUAUUAUUAUUAUUAUUGUUAUAAUAUUAAUUUUAUUGUUACCGCCAUACAUGUUUCGAGAGAGACAGGAAAAAAUCCGCCUGCAGUUAUGCAACAAGGCUUUUGUGCUCGGAUCAUAAUCAUUAUAAGACUUCCACUUAUGCUGGUAAAAAUUUCUGAAGGGAGGAAGGGCCAAUUUGCGGCGUAGGCGCCCUCGCUCACAGCUUGACUGGCAAUCAAUACCUCAUUUGCCGUCAAAGUUAUUGCAAAGAGUUGGAAAAAGCAUCCGUUGAACAUUUGAAAUCCAGCUACGCAAAGCAUCACGCUUGAUAUUAACAAUUGGCACAACAUCGUUUUUCAAUGAUACGUUAACGUCCCAAUCAAAAAUCGUCUCGAGCUUGUGCUGUAGUAUUUUGAAUUGACCGGCGGCGUGCAUGCUUAAGAGGCAUAAAAAAUUAUCGAAACAGGCGAAACAAACGGCGGUGUGUAUCAGGGCGAGAGUCUGCGAAAUGAAAUGUUUCUGGAAAAAAAUCAAUUUGAAAUAUCGAUGGAUAUUAAUUGUUAUUGGGGGAAAUUUAUAAAGUGACAACGAUUGAAAUUCUUCUGAAACAACAGUCGAGGCUUAAUGCGAUUAAAGAUGAGUGGAAAGAGUAGAAAAAAAUGGAAAAAGGAAAGAAGAAGAAGAAGAAGAAGAAGAAGAAAAUAAAAGAAAAAAAAGGGAGAGAGAGAGAGAGAGAGAGAAAAAAAAUUGAAAGAAAAUAUAAUUGUCUCGAAGAUAUUACCUCAAUCGUAAAGAAUAUCUCGAAAUAAGGGCUCAUUGAAAAAGAAAGGAGCACAGAGGAUUGAAUCUAUACAAAGGAAUUAAAAUUAAUGAACUGGAUUCUAAAGCAUAUGUGAAAAACAAAAAGAAAGAAAGAAGGGAAGGAAGAAAUAAAAGGACAUAUCGCAAAAAUUUGCGAUGAUAGAAAAAGAAAAAAUAGAGAAAGAUAAAGAGACAGAAAGAGAGAGAGAGAGAGAGAGAGAGAGAAGAAGAAGAAAGAUGAAUUUUUUCGUACUAUUUUUUACGGCAAGUAUCGUAUAACAACGGUAUAUAAUAGUAACGUUAGAUAAUAUAAUAAAUAAUUAUCUAUUUACAUGCAGACAACUAAACCGUACGCUUAAAUCUUAAUGCAUCUAUUACAAACA